GGUCCCGAUUAUUAGACUUUUUGUCCUAAGUCAGCCAUUGGAAGAAGGCCCAUUUCAAGGACUCAAGGCUUAAAAUAAAACCUCCUUGGAAAGCUACUGCAGCUCUCAGUCUUAAAGAAUACGUUGGAGGCUAAUGUUACACAGAUUAAGAUCAUGCAUUAAUUUGGAUUCUCUUUAUACUCCCUCAAAAUAUAGAAUUCUCUUUAGUCCUGGCUUCUAUCACUAAUUGCUAGUAUUUAUUGAGAAUCUAAGUAUGAAACCUGCAAUACUAUAAGCACUUUACCUGGAUUAAUUCAUUUUAUCUGAACAGCAGCUCUGUGAGACAUGUUCAAAUUAGGAAACUAAAACUUUCAUGCGCUAAUACAAGUAUAGUUGACAGAACCUGACUCAGACUUUUGUGGACGUCUCCUAGAGGCAUUCUCUCUAACAUUAAACAACCCAUAACCACUGUCCUCUUUUGUUUCUCAGUAGAACUUAGAGACAAAAACAACAAAUAAAAUCACAGAAGCUAAGAGCUGUGUGAGACUUAACCUGAACACAGCAUUUGUGUAAGUCCCAGACAUUUGGACAGUCUCAGUCACCACACUACCCCUAGGCCAGGUAUACAGCUCAGCUGGUUUACCUCUGGCUUAGCGUGGUUCUGGAAAUAUACAGGUUUUCCUGAUUUGGGUUUGGAGUUCUGUCACUAGGAGGGUGAGGGGACACCAUACAUUUGAAAAAAAAAAAAAAAAAGCAACUAAAACACAUUCAGAUAUUGUCUAGCUCUAUUAUUUACCAUUAAAUUUCUUUUAAUUAUUUUAGGAAUUAUUAAUAAUUCCCCUCCUUUCUCUUCUCUUCUCUUCUCUUCUCUUCUCUUCUCUUCUCUUCUCUUCUCUUCUCUUUUUCUGUUGGUGGGUGGUUGUUUGGUUGUUGUUAGUUUUCUUCAGCCUCUUUUUCUUUCUUCCUUUUUCUAUUACUGUUAAGUAUUUGUAGAUUCACAAUAGUGACUAUUGAAAGACAGCCAGGAUGAGUGGGUGGGAGGUCAGCUUCUGGGAAGGGCCAUUCCUACCACACUGCGCAUGGAAUUGAAGACCAGCCCCGGGUCCUCAUCGACACCUUCUUCUCUAGUCUUUACCUCUGUGUUUUAUGUUGGCCUCGUUCCUGUCAGUCCUGACUCAUGGUUGGUAAGGGACUCAGAUUUAGUUUAUCUCAGACAAGUUUCUCCUUACAAUACCUAAUCAAGGUAUUUGUAUCCUGGAAAAAAAUUCUGACCCAAUUUGGAUCAUAUUCAUGUCCUUUUGAGCAUUCAUUCUCAGCAGGGAAAUGAAGUGCUGUGAUCUUUUAGACCAAGUGUAGUGAUUGCUUCUGAAUAGACAGACAGAGGACACUGAGACCUGCCAAAACCACAUGUCAAAAAGUCAUUGUGUCUACUUGUGAUCCUAGCACUGAGACAGUGAAGACGGAUCCCUGAGGCUUGUUAGCCAGCCAGCCCAAAGUACUAGGCAAGUUUCAGGCCAGUGAGAGGCUCUGUCUCAAAACAAGGAGUUUGGUGCCUAAGAAAUGACACCCAAGUUUGACCUUGACCUCUGGCCUACAACACACACACACACACACACACACACACACACACACAUAUCACAAAAUUUUUCUUUAAAUGUUAUUACCAGCAAAUUUUCCAUAUUUUAAUGAAUUGUAUUUUCUAUCAAAAGUAAUACUUCAAACAACUGGUUUAUUAAAUAUUUUAUGUUCUUUAUAUGUGAACUGAUGUGGAAAUAGAUAUGCCUUAGUAGAUGCAUGAAGUACUUACUAUAGUUAAAACUUUUAUAUCCUGUGAAUAGGUUUUUUUUAACCUUUAAAUCUCUUUUAAAUUUAAUUAUACAUGUCUUAGUAAUUUGUUUUUUAAUGCAAAUGCUAUAUUAUUAAAUAUGAUUAAAAUAUUUAAGUAUUGACUUACUUUUAUUUUAUCCUUAGGAACUCAGAGAAAGCUAUAAUACACAGCAGUUAGCCCUUGAACAACUUCAUAAAAUCAAACGUGACAAAUUGAAGGAAAUCGAAAGAAAAAGAUUAGAGCAAAUUCAAAAAAAGAAACUAGAAGAUGAGGCUGCAAGGUAAUUGUAUUGUACUAUACUAUUAAGUGAAUGUGUCAUGAAUGUAUUGUAGUAUUUUACUAUUGAAAUUCUGCUCAGCAGUGGUGGUGUGCGCCUUUAAUCCCAGCACUCAGGGGCAGAAGCAGGCAGAUCACUGUGAGUUCCAGCAUAGCCUGGUCUACUGAGUGAGUUCCAGGACAGCCAAGGCUACAUAGAGAAACCCUGUCUCAAACAAAACAAAAUAAAAUGCUAGCUUUUGUUGCACAUUGCUUUUGUUUAUGAAAUUUAAAGGGAAUAAAAGUAUUAUUUUUAAAUACCACUCAGAUUCCAAUUCUAUAAAUUCAAUUCUCCUUUUAGGCAUUAAGUUUUCAUUAACCAAUUAUAUGGUCUAGUAGUGAAAGAGAAGAACAUGGGAGUCAGAUCUGGAUUAGGAUUUUUAGUCUUCCCUUUACUAUCUGAGGGACCCUAGCAAACAGACCGUUUAUCUUUCUAAAGCCUGGUUUUUCUAUUUGAAAACAGAGAAUACCAUUUACCACAUAGGUAAUUGUAGGCUUUAAAUAAAUAAUGUAGUUGGAAUCUUGUAAAUUACACAUAAUGAACUUCAUUAGUUCUCUGGCUCUCCCAUAAAUCUGUCUGUUCCCUAGAAGAUC
rnacentral:lncRNA from 1 species